rnacentral:rRNA from 1 species
AGUGAACGCUGGCGGUAGGCCUAACACAUGCAAGUCGAACGGCAGCACAGUAAGAGCUUGCUCUUACGGGUGGCGAGUGGCGGACGGGUGAGGAAUACAUCGGAAUCUACUUUUUCGUGGGGGAUAACGUAGGGAAACUUACGUUAAUACCGCAUACGACCUACGGGUGAAAGCAGGGGAUCUUCGGACCUUGCGCGAUUGAAUGAGCCGAUGUCGGAUUAGCUAGUUGGCGGGGUAAAGGCCCACCAAGGCGACGAUCCGUAGCUGGUCUGAGAGGAUGAUCAGCCACACUGGAACUGAGACACGGUCCAGACUCCUACGGGAGGCAGCAGUGGGGAAUAUUGGACAAAGGGCGAAAGCCUGAUCCAGCCAUACCGCGUGGGUGAAGAAGGCCUUCGGGUUGUAAAGCCCUUUUGUUGGGAAAGAAAAGCAGCAGGUUAAUACCCCGCUGUUCUGACGGUACCCAAAGAAUAAGCACCGGCUAACUUCGUG